rnacentral:lncRNA from 1 species
UGUCAAACACCACAUCUGCCACUCCAUGUUGAAGAAUUUGAAGAGCAGCAGUAUCCUUAGCUUUGAGUGCCUUCAAGUUUGCAGCUUCUUUGGUCUUGUCUGCUCCUGGAGUCUCUGGUGACUGAGAUCCCGGAUCUGGAACUCCAUCUUUUACUACCUCCCACAGAUCUUUGUUCAUCAAGGUUGUUUUCAUUCUUGCUGCCCAGAACUCAUAGUUCUGUCCAUCAAAAACAGCAACAAGUUGUGAAGAUUGCAAGGUAAGUGUCAUUCUUCUCUUCUCUUCUUACGGCUUCUUCUUUGCCUCCUUAUUUCUUCUUCUUUGAACAGGCUCCAAGAUCAAACCUGUCUCUGAUACCAUGUUGCAAUUCUCAAAUUUUACUCAGGUUUUCUUAAACUCUCUCUUUCUUUUUUUUAAGAUUUUUCAUUCAUGCUUUCAUUUAUUACAAGGACACACACAUACACAUACUUAUACAAGUUUUCUUUCACUAGCUAGUAGCUACUCACUUACCCUUACUCUCUCAUCUUACUUCUACAAUCUAGAUUCACUUACACAAGCAAUCCACUCCAUCAUAGACUCCAACAACACACUCUUUCUUUUCAUUUGGGCCUUAGUUUAUUCGGAGCCCAUUACUAAAAACAACCCUAAGCCCAUAAUCUUUUUGUUGACUUUUCUUCUUCUUCUUUGACUCCCUUCUUCUUCGACGCUUUUCUUCUUCUUCAACCAAGUUUCUUCUUCUUCUUCUCCUCACUGUAAUUCUUUUGAUUCUUAAUCAUCUUCUCUUUCUCAAUUGCAGGUUCAAUCGGAGACUCAACCUUCAACAGUUACAUGCACUUUGUUCAAUUUCAGGAAGCAUCUUCUUGAGACUUUCAUGGCCAAAUAGACUCAAGACCAUGUGCUUGAGGUACUUAUGCAUGAACCCAUGUAAUGAUCCCACAUUCUGCUUUUCCAAAGAUCUCAGUGAAAGUGUCAGGAUACCAACACUGGAAACAUCUACCUUCUUGUUGGAACACAAAAUAACUAAAACCAGGGUCUGUUGUUACAAUAAUUGGUUUCCCCACAAGGUUGGUCUUGAAGAUUGGCCCAUACCUGCAUGAAUAUUAAUAGGAUUUUAACUUUGGUUUGUAGACAAAUACAAGUAUGCAAGAAAGAAGAAAACACACACUUCUUAACCCUCUCU